GUCCAAAUUCAUCUCACUGGUGUCAGAGAUUAUCCCAGACCUCCUGGGCUACAAACGUAAGACUCAGCUGAUCCUUGGACUGAGGGCCCAGCUCAUUCUUGAAAUAGUGAAGAAGACGAAUGAUGGUGACAGUUUCCAGCAGAAUACAACAAACCACGUGGAUGCAGAAAGUAACAAGAUGAAGAGGUGGAGAUUUCAAAGUCACCAUUGGUGGAUCUCAUUCAAAUGCUACUUCGAGAUCAGUCAUUGGGAGUUCUUCUAUCGACUGGAAGAGUUGUGCCCAGUGCCAAGUGUCUCAGGAGAGAAGCCUCAUAGCUGUGUAACAUGUCACAAGACGUUUGCUCAGAAAUCCAACCUGAAAAUACAUCUCAAAGUCCACAAGAACAUCUAGCAAAGUGGCUGUGGGAGCUUUUGGAGACGCAGUUUGCUACAGAUAUGGUUCAUUUGAGUGUCAGGACAAGUUUUGAUGCUUAAAAAUAAUAAUUUGCAUUUGGACAUAUAGUGCAUUAAAAUGUGGAUUUUUCCUGUGCUGUCCUGUGUUGAAUUUGUGUGCUAAUAUUGCACGUUACUGUAAACGGGUGUUCUGGAUGACCCAAAUUAAGGUGCCCAUGUCCUAAUUCAUGGACAUAAGGAAUUUUGAGUUAGACUGUCCUGUCACCCAAACACUUAUAUAUGAGCUGUUGGUGCUGUGAGAAUGGUCGUCACUUGAUAAAUGCACUAGAAAGAUGUAAUAUUUGCA